rnacentral:lncRNA from 1 species
UUCCGGUUAUAUUCUCCACUGCUUCCCCGAAGUGCUCGUCCCGAGCACAAAUUGCUACAUUUCGUAUUUGGGUUUUUAACGUUAUUUCAUCUAUGGGUAAUUCGUCUUGGGUAAAUCGUCUUUGGGUAAUUCGUCUUUGGGUAAUUCGUCUAUGGGUAAUUCAUCUAUGGGUAAUUCGUCUCUCUAGUUGCUGAAAGUGUGUACAUACUGAAAACAUCACGAACAUAGAAAAUGCACAUAUUGGACCUUUUAAUGGAUAUAUAUAGGGGGUAUGUGGAGGGGGAUAAACAUAAAUAUACUAGAUAUUCGAGGAGGGGGACUACUGACAUAAAUAUACUAUACUCUGAGGAGGGGGACUACUGACAUACGUAUACUAUACUCUGAGGAAGGGGACUACUGACAUA